rnacentral:lncRNA from 1 species
AGAGCCGCGCACCAAGCCGAUGGCGGUGGACGCAGCAGGGCCCCGCGGUCUGAGUGCGGGCAGGCGCGCGUGGGCGUGUCUCCCUGGCCCACGCGUGUCCCCGGCAUCAGUGUCUCGGCUCUGGUCCAGGACGAAGACUUCUGAAAGCGAGCCAAGGAGAAUCACAGUUCUUAACGGAGCCCCUGACUGCCCGGUGGAAGGAGGUGAUUUAGAAGACAGUGAGAUUCCUGAAAAACAACAUUGGGCUCCAACUGCAUCUUCAAGAGAGGCCCUGUCUUCUGGCUCUGUGUUACCGUGUUGACCAAGAAGUUGAUCUGGGGCAAAGUGAAGCAUCAGUAGCGCCUUCCAUCCCUUCACCUCACCUGGAUCUCUUCACUUCACUCCACGUCUGUCGUCUCCCAUGCAUGAAGCAACAUGGCCAAGUGAAGCUGCAACCAGUAAAGUGUAAGGUAUCAAGUAGUGACAAUGAUGGUGUCAAAUAAUUGCUAUUUUUAGACUCAGCUACUGUUCCCAUCGAGAUGCAAAGGACACAGAGCUCACGGGUGCUCCAGCAAUGCUGGUGUCAUGUUUGGAGGUAGCUGUCUAUGGACUACAGUAUUCUCCCAGUGCUAGUCUGCAGUCACUGCAAAGGUGAGGUGCUUCUGUGUCACUAGCUUUGUUGAAAAUGCUUAAUAUUGCAAGGCAUUCUUGAAUAUUUGCUACUGUAAUCAAAGAAUAGAAACAAUGAAAUAAAUUUUAUGUGUUAACUCUUUUUUUCUAAAAUAAAAUGUCUUCAUUGGAUUGAAUGAACAUUGAUUAUUAAAAAGAGCUCUAAAAAUUC